rnacentral:rRNA from 1 species
GGAUUCCCCCAGUAACGGCGAGUGAAGCGGGAAGAGCUCAAGCUUAAAAUCUCCAUACUUGUAUGGCGAAUUGUAGUCUAUUGAGGCUGUUGUCAGCAUCGCGAUUGGGGACAAGUCCCUUGGAAAAGGGCAGCAUAGAGGGUGAUACUCCCGUCUCUGCUCCAAUCUGCGGUGUGUACGAUACGCUUUCUUUGAGUCGAGUUGUUUGGGAAUACAGCUCAAAGUAGGUGGUAAAUUCCAUCUAAAGCUAAAUAUUGGUGCGAGACCGAUAGCGAACAAGUACCGUGAGGGAAAGAUGAAAAGAACUUUGAAAAGAGAGUUAAAGAGUACCUGAAACUGUUGAAAGGGAACCGUAUCGUUUCCAGUGUUGUAUCCUGUGCAUAUUUCAUUCGCGGAGUAAUUUGCGGGUGCCCUGUGCAUGGGUGUGACGUCAGGGUCAGUUUGUAUGCUGCGGGAGAUGGUCAGUGAGGAGGUGCGUCACUUCGGUGAAAGUUAUAUCUCGCUGUCUAGUAGCCGUGGUUGAGACUGAGGUGCCUACAACAUGCCUUAAGGUUCCGUGUUGUCUCGUGUUGGUGACUGCUUUGAUAGCUUGCUAUGUCUGUGGUUUAUUAGUGCGAUUGAUGAUGCGGAUAACUUUUGCUGUUCGGGACUCUGGCGAAAUGGAGCGAU